rnacentral:rRNA from 1 species
UGGGGAAUAUUGCACAAUGGGCGGAAGCCUGAUGCAGCGACGCCGCGUGAGGGAUGACGGCCUUCGGGUUGUAAACCUCUUUCAGCACCGACGAAGUGGUCGGGUUUUCUUGAUCGUGACGGUAGGUGCAGAAGAAGCGCCGGCCAACUACGUGCCAGCAGCCGCGGUAAGACGUAGGGCGCGAGCGUUGUCCGGAUUUAUUGGGCGUAAAGAGCUCGUAGGCGGCUUGUCGCGUCGUCUGUGAAAUCCCGCGGCUCAACUGCGGGUCUGCAGUCGAUACGGGCAGGCUAGAGUUCGGUAGGGGAGACUGGAAUUCCUGGUGUAGCGGUGAAAUGCGCAGAUAUCAGGAGGAACACCGAUGGCGAAGGCAGGUCUCUGGGCCGAUACUGACGCUGAGGAGCGAAAGCGUGGGGAGCGAACAG